rnacentral:rRNA from 1 species
GUGCACCAGGCGAGAAUCUUCCACAAUGGGGGAAACCCUGAUGGGGCGACGCCGCGUGCGGGAUGAAGGCCCUAUGGGUUGUAAACCGCUGUUCAGUGGAAAGAACAUCCUCCGGCUGAAUAGGUCGGAGGCCUGACGUUACCACUGCCAGAAAGUCCCGGCCAACUCCGUGCCAGCAGCCGCGUAAUACGGGGGGACGAGCGUUGUCCGGAAUCAUUGGGCGUAAAGGGCGCGUAGGCGGCGAGGAAAGUCGAAUGUGAAAUCUUGCGGCUCAACUGCAAAACUGCGUUCGAAACUUCCUCGCUUUGAGUAUGAGAGAGGUGUGCGGAAUUCCUGGUGUAGCGGCGGAAUGCGUAGAUAUCAGGA